UUGGGAUAUCCUCACUCGCAUCACUUGAAAUAAGAUUGCCAAAUUGUUGGAGGUCUGAUUCUACUACCAAUAACAACAGAUCUCCCCUCGAAGUUUUUCAAAGAUGGCAAAAUCUGUUGGCUCUACCACAGGUGUUCUUGUGGUUGCUUUCCUUCUGAUUGCUUCAUUUGCAACGACAAUGGUUGAAGGAAAAAGCAAAAGCUGUAAGAAGCCGAGCGAAUCCUUUACGACCCCAUGCAACAAUCACCCAGAAUGCGAUAAAAAAUGCAGAGAAGUAGAGAAAGCACAGUCAGGUGGUCUUUGCCGAAAAGAAGGGGAAGUGAAAAAGUGUUUCUGCUAUAUGUGCUAAAAUUUUGGCUGAAUAUUCACAUCUAGCCUUUUAAUUUUAGUUUUCUAAUGUAAAUACUGUGGUUUGCUACUGAAACUACAAGAACUAAGGAUAUAACUUGGAAAUGUGACACCAAGUUUUUUUUAUUUUUUUUAUUUAUUUUUAAUAGAUUUCUUGUGGAGAAUAAACGAUAGCUUUAUUAUCAA